rnacentral:lncRNA from 1 species
ACCUAGCAGCAUGUAGUGGCUACCCAGUAGAAUAGAAAGAUGAACCUCUAGGUGCAGUUAACGUGUGAUACAUUCCUACUAUCGUGGAUCCCUACAGGACGGAGGUCAUGGACAACUCGUCAAACCCCAUCGUCUGUCGUAUGUCAAAAUUUAUUUGACUUGAGUUCGAUAGUGGAAAACUCUUUUUUCACUUUAUAUUACUGCCCUGGCCAAGGUCUUAGAACUCAGUCUAACAAAUCACAUAGGAUCACUCCU